rnacentral:lncRNA from 1 species
CAGAGGUAAAGGCCGGUGGAGCAGGGAUGUGCCGCAGGUUUCCGCUCUGCCCUCCCUCCCCGCGAGACAUGCGUUUCUCUCUGCUCCGGCAGGCAGCGGGACUCGGACAGUGAAGGAAGAGGCGCCUCCUUGGGACGGCGGCGUGGAGCCGGCGGGUGCCAGGGGUGCGUUUUUGGGGGUGCUCGGAGGGGGCACCCCCCUGAGCUCGGAGCAGCACCCAGCCCUGGCAGCCCCAGCAGCCCCCCACGGCAACCCGGCUCGCGCGGGAGCCCUCGGCAAGGCCAGAGCCAUCCCGACCCUGCCGAAACGCUGGCAGGAGGACCAGGGCCGAGGCUGGGGGGCCGGCCGCAAGGAGGGCUGCAGUGGGCAGUGCGAUGCCCCCCCCCAAAAGCCGGCGGGGGGGCUGGCGGAGAGACCCCGCCGCCGCCCUGAGAGCGAAGAGCCCUCCGCCGCCUCUCCGAGCCCUCCGCCGCGCGGGGAGGCUGCCGAGCGCCUCCGGGUCCCGCUUGCGCACGGGCGAGCGGCCCUACCGCUGCCCGCUCUGCGCCAAGGCCUUCGGCCACCGCUCGCACCUCACCCGCCACCAGCACGCCCACGGCCCCGGCCUGGGGCUGCUGGGAUGAGCCUCGUCGUCCCUUUGGGCUUGGCUCGGUCCCUCUCGUCCUCUCUGUCCUCCCAGCUCUGGCUCCGAGAGCCUCGGCCGCAGCUAAUCCUGCUCCUUUCAUCCUUCCCCUUCUUUUUCUCGUCCCCUCUUCUUGUCUUCACCCUCCUGCCUCCCUUUCCAUCACCCAAGGCGGCGCGUGCAUCAAGCCAUCCCUCCGGGCGGAUGCGUCCCCGCUUCCCCCGUUGCCACCACCGCGUUUUGCCCACGCAGGACCCGAGCACUCAGCCUCAUCUCCCAGUGACCUGCCCCUAAAAGCUCUGCGGGAGCCCAGUUGGACCAGUCUGGCUCCCACGUUGGGACCAGUUUGAAAGCAGAGCGCCCAGGGGGUGCCGGACCCCUGCACAAGCCCUGUGUGCUCUUGCCGGCUUCAUUUAGUUUUUGGGAGCAAGAGGUGGCAACAGAUACGGUGUGAGAGGGAGGACGAUGGCCAGGUCAUCCCAGAGAAGAGGUGGGAAGGAGACUUUUUAUCUUCUUGCAUUCAACUAGGAGUAAUAAAG